rnacentral:rRNA from 1 species
AGUGAACGCUGGCGGUAGGCUUAACACAUGCAAGUCGAACGGCAGCACAGUAAGAGCUUGCUCUUAUGGGUGGCGAGUGGCGGACGGGUGAGGAAUACAUCGCACUCUACUUUUUCGUGGGGGUUAACGUCGGGAAACUUACGCUAAUACCGCAUACUACCUACGGGUGAAAGCAGGGGAUCUUCGUACCUUGCGCGUUUGAUUGCGCCGAGGCCGCAUUAGCUGGUUGGCGGGGUAAAGGCCCACCAAGGCGACGAUCCGUAGCUGGUCUGAGAGGAGGGUAGCCCGCACUGGAGCUGGGACGCGGACCAGGCUCCUACGAGAGGCAGCAGAGGGGAAUGUUGGGCAGUAGGCGGGAGCAUGGUCCAGCGAGACCGCGUGGGAGGAGGAGGCGUUCGGGUUGUGAAGACCGUUUGUGGGGAGAGAAAAGCAGCAGGUUGAGACGAAGCUGUUCUGACGGUACCCGAAGAAUAAGCACCGGCUAACUUCGUG